ACUUGUGUCCUAAUUUGAAAAUAAACUGACUGUAGCUCUAUAAAUAAAGAGUUAAAUAUAACAUAACAGAGUUAAAAUUUUAAAUAAAAAGAAAAAAUUCUGAAGAAAAAUUCCAUUGGAAUACUACGUAAUACCGCUAAGAGGCAGCAUUGCUAAACAUUCAGCUUCCCACAACAACAGCGUCCCUCAGUGUGAAACUCCAUACGGGAAAUGUGGAGAACGGUAAACAAACGCAGGUUUUCUGAACAUGCAGUGAGACCAUGGAGCCCUGCUCUCUUAUGCUACAUUUGUAGGUCAAAAACUAAUGGAAUCUGACCACCAUAUUGGCCACACUUUGAAGAGAUGGAUCCAAAAGCAAAGGAGCACAAUGAGGAGCUAAAGGAACACAUAAAGCAGAUGAGAAGCUUAGGUUCAGCGUGGGGCCUUUCGUCGGUGUGCCGCUCGGUUCUGUGUACGGCAGCAGAAGGCAGGGGUCUGUUCGUUCUGUCACCAGAGACAUGAGGAGCCAAAGCUUCAAAGCAUCUCUGUAAUCUGCCUGAACAUCACAGACACCAGGAAGUGACUGUCUAACCGACACGCCGUCCCGGCCAAGAGCGGCGCACGCACACAUACACACUAAUGAAACUGAGAUAAAGGGAUCAUUCACACAGCAAGCACUGGCUGUUCUGAUAAAAAAAAAAACAGAGAGAAAAUGGAAAAUCAGUGGGGUUGUGCUUUUCUAUCAUUAUUUCAUGUCUUAUAGGAUAUUUCUUCAAGAAUUUGCUAGCAGAUAAAAGAAGUAUCCAGGAUUUCAUUUGUGUGUGUGCAUGUGUGUGCUGUUUCAUGCCUAGACGUGAAUGUGAUUUAAUUCAGAGCUGAUGCGAGUAUCAUUCGCUAGGUAUGUGUACGUGCAUAUUUGUGUGUAAAAUCUGUGUACGAAUGUAUAUUAUAAAACUUUAUUAUAUAUUACAUGUACUGCCAUUCAAAAGUUUGGAUUCAGUAAGAUUU